UACGUCUCUCUCAAACUGGAAUGACCUUGGACACAGGACCUAACUGGCCGCUGAAACAGGUUCAAAAUCACAUAUAGCAUGAGUUCUUGGCUCUUAAAUAGUAAAUCAGUUGAAAGCUCUGUAAAUAUCUGUACAGGCUUGGGAAAAAAUGCUAUAAAUGUAUUAAGAAAAUAUAGCUGUAAUCUGUUACAUUCUGCCACUAGUAAAAAUAAUUAUUCCAGUGAAUAUCCUUCUAUGGGACUAUUAAGAGAAGAUUCAUGAAUAGUUUUCUCCUUUCAAGAACUUUGUUAAACAUUAACUAGACAGCAGCCAUUCUCAGAAAGUUCAUCAAAAGAAUGUACAGAGAGUGGACAAUUAUUUCAUCAAAAAAAUGUACAGAGAGUGGACGAUUAUCAACUAGAAUAGUGCACAUAGGUUUUCAUCUAGAUGUCAUUCCACUAAACAUCAGUUUUCCUGUAAUUCAUUUUUCUCGUCGAGCAAAACCAGACUUCCAUUGUAACUAAUCAAAGAAUUCAUGUCACCUUCAAUAUCAAACUCAAUAAUAUCCACUUUGCCACUUCUCAAAGUUAUAUGCAAUUCUUUGGUCCUCAAUCUGUUAUAUAAUUAUCUCUUUGUUAUUGGUAAACAAGCCUGAGAAUUUUGAGAACUAAAGCAACUAAAUAUUAUGAGACCUCUAAACAUAUUUUUU
rnacentral:lncRNA from 1 species